rnacentral:rRNA from 1 species
GUACACGCUGUGACUAGCAUAUCAAUAAGCGGAGGAAAAGAAACUAACAAGGAUUCCCCUAGUAACGGCGAGUGAAGCGGGAAGAGCUCAAAUUUGAAAUCUUAAAGGGUUUCCCUUUACGAAUUGUAGUUUAAAGAAGUGUUUUCUGUUGAGGUUUUGGUAAAAGUUCUUUGGAAUAGGACAUCAUAGAGGGUGAGAAUCCCGUAUUUGACCUUUACUUUCAACUUUGUGAUACACUUUCAAAGAGUCGGAUUGUUUGGGAAUGCAGUCCAAAAUGGGUGGUAAAUUUCAUCUAAAGCUAAAUAUUGGCGAGAGACCGAUAGCGAACAAGUACCGUGAGGGAAAGAUGAAAAGAACUUCGAAAAGAGAGUUAAACAGUACGUGAAAUUGUCAAAAGGGAAGCGUUAUGACACCAGUGUUGUUUUUCUGAAAAUCAAUUAAAGAACUGUUUAUGCUAAGUUGUUUAGACUUUAUCAGCUAUCUGUUUAGUUUUGAGCUUUUCUUUAAUGCACUUUUCAGUUAACAAGUCAACAUCAAUUUCUUUUGCUGUAAAAAAGCUUGAGGAAGGUGGCUUGAGAUUCGUCUUAAGUGUUUAUAGCCUCUUGCCUAUGCAGUCGGAGAGAUUGAGGUCUGCAGCGUAGAUCCUUCGGGGCUAAAUGCAUUUGUGCUAAGUUAUAGCAUUUUAUAGACAACUUGUUGACUAUGAUUUGUCUUGUAGCUUACUCGCUUAUGUUAUUUUACCUACGCUUAGGAUGUUGAAGAUGUAGCACAUCAU